UAUAUGCCUGUGAUGGGUGUUAAAUAUACUUUGAGUUUUCACCAUGAAAUCAACCUAAUCUGAGGCACCAA